CCUACGGGUGGCAGCAGUGAGGAAUAUUGGUCAAUGGACGAGAGUCUGAACCAGCCAAGUCGCGUGAAGGAUGACUGCCCUAUGGGUUGUAAACUUCUUUUAUCUGGGAAUAAAAUGUUCCACGUGUGGGGUUUUGUAUGUACCAUAUGAAUAAGGAUCGGCUAACUCCGUGCCAGCAGCCGCGGUAAUACGGAGGAUCCGAGCGUUAUCCGGAUUUAUUGGGUUUAAAGGGAGCGUAGGUGGAUUGUUAAGUCAGUUGUGAAAGUUUGCGGCUCAACCGUGAAAUUGCAGUUGAAACUGGCAGUCUUGAGUAGAGUAGAGGUGGGCGGAAUGCGUGGUGUAGCGGUGAAAUGCAUAGAUAUCACGAAGAACUCCGAUUGCGAAGGCAGCUCACUGGACUGCAACUGACACUGAGGCUCGAAAGUGUGGGUAUCGAACAGGAUUAGAUACCCCUGUAGUC
rnacentral:rRNA from 1 species